rnacentral:rRNA from 1 species
AUGGGAACACCAUGGCAUGUGGAAUCUUUUGCGGUGGGUGUUUCCUUCGUGGCCACUUAUUUGAAUGAAUCUUGGAACUUGGUGAAUGUCUAUGGCCCAUGUACGGGCCAGAGAUGGGCAUAUUUUACUUCCUGGCUUUUUGAUCUUAAUAUACUGGAUGAUGAAAACUGGCUAAUUUUGGGUGACUUCAAUUUCAUAUGGUCCACUGAUAACAGAAAUAAGCCGGGAGGAGAUGCUACUGAUAUGUUGUUAUUCAAUGAGCUUAUACGUGCACAAUCCUUAAUGGAAAUCCCAGUUAAGGGUAGGGCUUUCAUGUGGAGCAACAUGCAAGACGACCUGCUCCUGGAGCAGCUUGACUGGUUCUUUUCAUCUUCGCACCGGACCACCUCUUUUCCUAACACAAUGGUUCUGCCUCUGGGGAAACCGAUCUCUGAUCAUAUUCCGUGCAUUCUCUCCGAUCUCCGGUUUGAAAACUUCUAG